rnacentral:rRNA from 1 species
UAGGGAAUCUUCGGCAAUGGACGAAAGUCUGACCGAGCAACGCCGCGUGAGUGAAGAAGGUUUUCGGAUCGUAAAACUCUGUUGUUAGAGAAGAACAAGGACGUUAGUAACUGAACGUCCCCUGACGGUAUCUAACCAGAAAGCCACGGCUAACUACGUGCCAGCAGCCGCAGUAAUACGUAGGUGGCAAGCGUUGUCCGGAUUUAUUGGGCGUAAAGCGAGCGCAGGCGGUUUCUUAAGUCUGAUGUGAAAGCCCCCGGCUCAACCGGGGAGGGUCAUUGGAAGCUGGGAGACUUGGGUGCAGAGGAGGGGAGUGGAAUUCCAUGUGUAGCGGUGAAAUGCGUAGAUAUAUGGAGGAACACCAGUGGCGAAGGCGGCUCUCUGGUCUGUAACUGACGCUGAGGCUCGAAAGCGUGGGGAGCAAACAGG